UACGGGGGGGGCAAGCGUUGUUCGGAAUUACUGGGCGUAAAGGGCUCGUAGGCGGCCAACUAAGUCGGAUGUGAAAUCCCCAGGCUUAACCUGGGAACUGCAUCCGAUACUGGAUGGCUUGAAUCCGGGAGAGGGAUGCGGAAUUCCAGGUGUAGCGGUGAAAUGCGUAGAUAUCUGGAGGAACACCGGUGGCGAAGGCGGCAUCCUGGACCAAUACUGACACUGAGGAGCGAAAGCCAGGGGAGCAAACGGG
rnacentral:rRNA from 1 species